rnacentral:rRNA from 1 species
AGCGAACGCUGGCGGCAGGCCUAACACAUGCAAGUCGAACGAAGCCUUCGGGCUUAGUGGCGGACGGGUGAGUAACACGUGGGAACGUACCUUUUGGUUCGGAACAACUCAGGGAAACUUGAGCUAAUACCGGAUGAGCCCUUAGGGGGAAAGAUUUAUCGCCGAAAGAGCGGCCCGCGUUAGAUUAGCUAGUUGGUGAGGUAAAGGCUCACCAAGGCAACGAUCUAUAGCUGGUCUGAGAGGAUGAUCAGCCACACUGGGACUGAGACACGGCCCAGACUCCUACGGGAGGCAGCAGUGGGGAAUCUUGCGCAAUGGGCGAAAGCCUGACGCAGCCAUGCCGCGUGAAUGAUGAAGGUCUUAGGAUUGUAAAAUUCUUUUACCAGGGACGAUAAUGACGGUACCUGGAGAAAAAGCCCCGGCUAACUUCGUGCCAGCAGCCGCCGUAAAAC